GAGCCAAGGGAUUGAGGGUAGUAGCCCUAUCGAAAACCACAUGGAUUUAGAGAGAGAGAAGGAGUCAUUCUCUCGACCAUUGUAGAGGGGAAUUCUUGGACAAAGGUAUCCAGAGAAUACAGUGAUUGUUAAUCCCUCCCUUCAAAGGACAUGGAAUCAUGGAUAUCAAAGGGUCACCAGUCUGGUAGGCAUUUAUAGUCCCAUGUCAUGGAUGAGGAAGACUGAAUCUCAGAGAUGUUAACUGAUUUUGUCAAGUAUAUUCCUGAAAGGAAGUGCUGUAACUUCUACAAAUAAUCACCAGAAUCAGGAGAGAAAUGUGCUCCCCUCUGAUGCAUUACAAGGUGCUUGCCAUUCUAUGAGACGCUUCACCAUACAGACUUGGGCCACCAGACCAGCCUGGGAGCAACAGAGCGGAACCAGUUUCACCCGACUCCCAUGGACUCAGAGGGGAAAGGAGUGGUUCUUCAAAGACAGUUGGGAUGUUACCAGAAGUGAGAUGAGAGGCAGGCAGUCUGCAUCUAUAGAUGGCCUCUAAAGUAGCUGUAUCUGACAUCUCCCCAGUUACAGUCUUGAAGAGAAGCUCCCUGCCUCUUGCCGACACUUGUGUUAAUUUUUGAAUAGCCAUGGAUCCCUGAAAAUUCUUCAUGUCAUUCAAGCAGAAUUUUUGUGAACUUUCAACCCCGGUUCCAGUUUUAACCUUUGGUAUCACACACAACAAACCCAGCUUUUUUUUUUUUUUUUUUUUCCAUAGAAUACAGUCUUUGAUAUAUGGAAACAACAGGUCUGCCUCCAUGAAGACUUCUUCCCAAGCCAAAGUUCCCUUGUUUUCUUAAUGUUUUCUCAAAUUUUAAACUAGAGUUUUCCUAAUGUCUUUCUUUACCCAUAUUCUGUUGUAUUUAUUCGAUCACCAAGUUCUCAUGACUCUGCCUUCUAAGUAGCUCUCCAUGUAUAUCUUUCUUUUCCCUUUAGGCAUUGUUUUUAUUUAUAUAGUCUGAAAUCAGCUGUCUGCAAACAGCCUUAAUCCUGAGAUGUACCCUAGACAUUCUAGUGGGGAGUGGAUAAAUCUAUGACUCUUAUUUUAUAACUACUUGACUGUUAUAAUUUUGACUGUUUGUAAUAUAAUUUUAGAGGUAACCAAAAUUUUUCGACUUCCUAAAGAAGCCAGAUCUGACUUUUGUAAUUAAUUUCUUUUUUUAAUUUGAGUAUAGUUGACACACAACAUCAAAGCAUUUUUUUUUUGUUUUGUUUCUCCCAUCCUCUCUUUAUCCAAGUUUGUGUACAUACAGAGUUUACAUUUGAUUUCUGUCUUUCCCAAACUUGUCAGUAUCUCUGGAAUAUUGGUGUCUCAAUGAAUUUUAAUCUUCAGUCUGUUUAGUUGGGCAGAACAGGAAGUCACCAAGGACCCAAUAUGUGCUGGGUUCUGUCCAUGAGAAAUCAGGGAGUCAGGGAAGAGAAUUUUUAUCUAUUUUAUUUCCAAGUUGUACAUAAAACCUUACAUUGUCAUCUUGCCAACAAUCUCCUAUAAUGUUCAUCAAACAUGUACUCAAAUUCCCUGGAUGAGAAUAAGGGAUUGAGGUCUGGGAUUUGGUCAGUUUUGGGAAUACAAAGAUGUGUGAGGCUUUAUCUUUUCCCUCAAGGACCUCACAGUUCAAUAACAGAGACAUAUUAGCAGAUGAAUCUCAAUACAGUUACUGCUAUGACAACAUCAACUUAUAAUAACUUAUGAAUCUCAAUACAGUUACUUCUAUGACAGCAGUAUGCAUCAACUUCUGAUAACUCAGCAAAAAGGACACCUAACCCAGCCUGGGGUGUUAAGAAGGCUGCUUGAUGACCGUGCUAUUUGGACUGAGUCUUGGCAAGGUGGAGAAGGAGAAAGAGGAGAUUUUGGAGAGAAAAAAUGUGUAAUCAAAGACAUGGAGGAAUGAGAUGCAGAAGACAAUUAGCACUUCUUGGUCUCUUGAAAACUUGAACAGAAGCUUAGGUCAAAGACGGGUCAUUACCUGGUUCAUCAGUGCCCCUGGGGAAUUCAGAUCCUUUCGUCUAUGCAUGUCCUAAGGGAGCACACUCUCAUUACUCUUUAGAGGGUUCAAGAUUCUCAGAAACUUUAUUUUCUCUUUUUUGUUCAUCAGGUUCAGCCAGAAAUUAUUGAACAUCUUCUAUAAGCCAGGCACUUUGCUAGCUCUUCCACAUUCAUCAUCUUAUUAGACUCUUAUAACAACUCUUUGAGUUAUACCUUGGGUUAGAGAUAGCUCGGUAUCCCCCAGCUUCCACCCCCCCCCCCCACUAUUUAUAUAGUGGUAAAACUCCCCAUCCUAGACACAUAGCUGUCCAGACCAAUACUAAAAUUUCCAACCUUCCUUGCAGAUAUAUAUGGCCAUAUGACUAAAUUCUGGCCAAUGGGAUGUAAGCUGGGGUGUCACUUGGAAGCUUCCAGAAACUUUCCUCAACAGAGACCUGGUAUAGAUGGUUUGUUCCUCCUAUGAAUUUUAUUUCUGUUGGCUUGAAUGUAUGAAGGCUGAUGUUAGAGCAGCUUUCUUAGACUUGGAGGUGAUCUUGGAAGUAGAAACCCCUCUCAUGGAGGGAAAACAACAGGAGGUGCCUAUGGUCUGAAAUCUCUGUAGAGCAGAGCUGCCAAAGUCCUUGACUGUCUACCUCUGGAUCUUUUACAAGUUGAAGAAAUAAAA